AGGUAAGGAUUUGUAUGAAGCCUUGCACUGACCCUGACAAAAAUUAAGAAGCCGGUAAGUCUAGAGAAGAAGACUGCAGACAAACUUCAAUUCUGGGAGGGAAAUGAGAACUACAGCACACUUAGGACCUGCAUACUGCCACAGGCAGACCUGAACCAGGCGACUCCCCAGGUGAGCAGGGAGCCUGUGA